AGGAAUUCCGUCGGAAUCCGGGAGGACCAUCUCCCAAGGCUAAAUACUCCCUAGUGACCGAUAGUGAACCAGUACCGUGAGGGAAAGGUGAAAAGCACCCCGGAAGGGGAGUGAAAUAGAACCUGAAACCGUGUGCCUACAACAAGUCAAAGCCCGUUAAUGGGUGAUGGCGUGCCUUUUGUAGAAUGAACCGGCGAGUUACGAUUGCAUGCGAGGUUAAGUUGAAGAGACGGAGCCGCAGCGAAAGCGAGUCUGAAUAGGGCGUUUGAGUAUGUAGUCGUAGACCCGAAACCAUGUGAUCUACCCAUGUCCAGGUUGAAGGUGCGGUAAAACGCACUGGAGGACCGAACCCACGUACGUUGAAAAGUGCGGGGAUGAGGUGUGGGUAGCGGAGAAAUUCCAAACGAACUUGGAGAUAGCUGGUUCUCUCCGAAAUAGCUUUAGGGCUAGCCUCGGAAUUGAGAAUGAUGGAGGUAGAGCACUGUUUGGACUAGGGGCCCAUCUCGGGUUACCGAAUUCAGAUAAACUCCGAAUGCCAUUCAUUCAUAUCCGGGAGUCAGACUGUGAGUGAUAAGAUCCAUAGUCGAAAGGGAAACAGCCCAGACCACCAGCUAAGGUCCCAAAAUAUAUGUUAAGUGGAAAAGGAUGUGGGGUUGCACAGACAACUAGGAUGUUGGCUUAGAAGCAGCCACCAUUUAAAGAGUGCGUAAUAGCUCACUAGUCGAGUGACCCUGCGCCGAAAAUGUACCGGGGCUAAACAUAUUACCGAAGCUGUGGAGUACACCUUUAGGUGU
rnacentral:rRNA from 1 species